AGCUUGUCUGACUGAUGUUG
rnacentral:miRNA from 1 species